rnacentral:rRNA from 1 species
GAUGAACGCUAGCGGCAGGCCUAACACAUGCAAGUCGAGGGGUAUAGGGAGCUUGCUUCCUAGAGACCGGCGCACGGGUGCGUAACGCGUAUGCAAUCUACCUUGUACAGGGGAAUAGCCCAGAGAAAUUUGGAUUAAUGCCCCAUAGUAUUAUUAAAUGGCAUCCUUUAAUAAUUAAAGUUCCAACGGUACAAGAUGAGCAUGCGUCCUAUUAGUUAGUUGGUGUGGUAACGGCAUACCAAGACGAUGAUAGGUAGGGGUCCGUGAGAGGGAGAUCCCCCACCACUGGUACUGAGACACGGACCGAGACUCCUACGGGAGGGCAGCAGUGAGGAAUAAUUGGACGAAAUAGGGCGGCAAGACCUCGAUCCA